CCCGCGAUGGCUGGCUCGGGGCGCGCGCGCGGGGGGCGCCCGCGGCCGGCGCUCCUGCUGCUGCUGCUGCUGCUGCAUCUGCGGUGGCCCCAGGUCGCCGGCGCUGCGGGUACGCGCUGGAGCGGGCCCGGUACCACCCCGCACCUGCAGACCAUCUUCCUGGGCCGCUGCGCCGAGCAGAUCGCACUGCAGAACCCGGAGCUGCGGGACAAGAACUGCACAGCCAUCUGGGAAGCGUUUAAAGUGGUGCUGGAUAAGGAUCCCUGUUCUGUGCAACCCUCGGAUUAUGACCUUUUUAUUAACCUCUCCAGACACUCCAUUCCCAGAGACAAGUCCCUGUUCUGGGAAAACAACCACCUCCUUGUCACCAGCUAUGCAGAGAGCGGCCGCCGCCUUGUACCGCUCUGCAACGUUCUGUAUGGCAGGGUCGGAGAUUUCUUGAACUGGUGUCGACAGACAAAUGCCUCAGGACUCGACUACCAAUCCUGUCCAACAUCAGAAGAUUGUGAAAACAACCCUGUGGAUUCUUUCUGGAGAAGCGCAUCCAUCCAGUAUGCAAGAGAUAGUUCUGGGGUGAUCAAUGUCAUGCUGAAUGGCUCAGAGCCAGCAGGAGCCUAUCCUGUGAAAGGUUUUUUUGCAGAUUUUGAAAUUCCUUACCUCCAGAAGGAUAAAAUCACACGGAUUGAUAUCUGGGUUAUGCAUGAAAUCGGAGGACCCAAGGUGGAAUCCUGUGGAGAAGGCAGCGUGAAGCUCCUGGAAGAGAGGCUGGACAAGAUGGGUUUCCAGUACAGCUGUACCGAUGACUACCCACCAGUGAAGCUCUUAAAGUGUGUGGAACACAGCACUCAUCCUGACUGUGCCUUAAGUUCAAGCAGAAACUGCCAAGAGAUCAAGCAGGCAUUCAUGAGUGCAUUCAUUUCCAAGGAUCCCUGCAAAGCGACAAAGGAAGACUACAGACGACUGAUCGACCUGGCAGAUCCCACUGUGCCUUGCAACAAGAUAGUCUUAUGGAGCAAAACAAAGGAGCUGGCUCGUGAAUACGCGAAACCGCGGGGCCUGGUGACCCUGGAGGACACACUGCUGGGUUCCCUUGCUGAUGACCUCCACUGGUGUGGAGAGCCAGGCUCUCCUGAUUUGAACACGUGGUCUUGUCCAGACUGGAAGAAAGACUGCAGAACAAACUAUCUUACUGUAUUCUGGGAAGUGCUGUCCAAAAGGUUUGCAGAAAGUGCCUGUGGUACAGUCCAGGUGGUGCUCGACGGGUCGCUCGAGAACGCCUUUAAUGAAAUGAGCAUAUUUGGACGAGUGGAAGCCCCUAACUUGAAGCCAAUGGUUACGCUACAGGCUUGGCUGGUACAUGACCCUGGAAAACCUCCCCGUGACUCAUGCUCUGGCUCCUCUAUAACGAAACUGAAGUCCAUCUUAAGUGAAAGAAAUGUCAGAUUUAUCUGCAGGGAUAAUCUCAGCCGGGACGAGUUUCUUGGAAGAUUCUGA
rnacentral:lncRNA from 1 species